rnacentral:tRNA from 1 species
CCUCCGGUAGCUCAGUGGUAGAGCAGGAGGGAAAGAUAGAAUAAUGGUUGUCAGAUCGAUAGCUCCCUGACGCUGGUUCGACUCCGGCCUGGAGGU